GUCUUAGGAGGUGGGGCCUUUGGGAGGUGAUUAGGUCAUGAGAGUAGAGCCUCAUGAAGGAUUAAUUCCCUUAAAAAAGAGGCCUCCCAGAGCCCCUUAGUCCCUUCCACACAGCAAGAAGUCACCAGCUAUGAACCAGGAAGAGAGCCUUCACCAGAAUGGGAACAAACUGUUUCCUUAAUCUUGGACUUCCAGAAUUGUGAGAAAUGUCUGUUGUACUAUAAGCUGCCCAGUCUGUGGUAUUUUGUUAUAUCAGCCCAAAUGGACAAGGACGGAAAGUAUUACAAGGAUUGAGACAUGUACAACCACCUGGAAUUUCUUGGCUUUGACCUGACAAGUUCCCCAGUCUUCAAGGAUGGUUGCUGUUGUCACGCCGACCAUCAUGUUCUCUUGUCUUCUAUGAUGUAAGAACUUGCUCAGAGGAAAAUCCAUAGGAGAACAUAGCCAGAAGGUGGCUAUCCA
ensembl:lncRNA